ACCAGACGAUGCGGGAUCGAAGAUGAUUAGAUACCAUCGUAGUCUUAACCAUAAACUAUGCCGACUCGGGAUUGGCAGUCGUUUUUCAAUGACUCUGUCAGCACCGUAUGAGAAAUCAAAGUCUUUGGGUUCCGGGGGGAGUAUGGUCGCAAGGCUGAAACUUAAAGGAAUUGACGGAAGGGCACACCAGGAGUGGAGCCUGCGGCUUAAUUUGACUCGACACGGGGAAACUUACCAGGUCCAGACAAAGUAAGGAUUGACAGAUUGAGAGCUCUUUCUUGAUUCUUUGGGUGGUGGUGCAUGGCCGUUCUUAGUUGGUGGAGUGAUUUGUCUGCUUAAUUGCGUUAACGAACGAGACCUCAGCCUACUAAAUAGUAUGUUGUUUAGUAAUAAAUGAUAUGACUUCUUAGAGGGACAUUUCGGGUUUACCGGAAGGAAGUUCGUG
rnacentral:rRNA from 1 species